rnacentral:rRNA from 1 species
CAUUACAAGAUUCCGUAGGUGACCUGCGGAAGGACAUUA